rnacentral:rRNA from 1 species
AGAGUUUGAUCCUGGCUCAGGAUGAACGCUGGCGGCGUGCCUAACACAUGCAAGUCGAGCGAAGCAUAUAACAUGAAGUUUUCGGACGGAAUGUUAUCUGACUGAGCGGCGGACGGGUGAGUAACGCGUGGGUAACCUGCCUUAUACAGGGGGAUAACAGUUAGAAAUGACUGCUAAUACCGCAUAAGCGCACAGUACUGCAUGGUACAGUGUGAAAAACUCCGGUGGUAUAAGAUGGACCCGCGUCUGAUUAGCCAGUUGGCGGGGUAACGGCCCACCAAAGCGACGAUCAGUAGCCGACCUGAGAGGGUGACCGGCCACAUUGGGACUGAGACACGGCCCAAACUCCUACGGGAGGCAGCAGUGGGGAAUAUUGCACAAUGGGGGAAACCCUGAUGCAGCAACGCCGCGUGAGUGAAGAAGUAUUUCGGUAUGUAAAGCUCUAUCAGCAGGGAAGAAGAUGACGGUACCUGACUAAGAAGCCCCGGCUAACUACGUGCCAGCAGCCGCGGUAAUACGUAGGGGGCAAGCGUUAUCCGGAUUUACUGGGUGUAAAGGGAGCGUAGACGGCAGCGCAAGUCUGGAGUGAAAUGCCGGGGCCCAACCCCGGAACUGCUUUGGAAACUGUGCAGCUGGAGUGCGGGAGAGGUAAGUGGAAUUCCUAGUGUAGCGGUGAAAUGCGUAGAUAUUAGGAGGAACACCAGUGGCGAAGGCGGCUUACUGGACCGUAACUGACGUUGAGGCUCGAAAGCGUGGGGAGCAAACAGGAUUAGAUACCCUGGUAGUCCACGCCGUAAACGAUGAUUACCAGGUGUCGGGGGACCAAGGUCCUCCGGUGCCGGCGCAAACGCAUUAAGUAAUCCACCUGGGGAGUACGUUCGCAAGAAUGAAACUCAAAGGAAUUGACGGGGACCCGCACAAGCGGUGGAGUAUGUGGUUUAAUUCGAAGAUACGCGAAGAACCUUACCAGGUCUUGACAUCCGACUAACGAAGUAGAGAUACAUUAGGUGCCCUUCGGGGAAAGUCAAGACAGGUGGUGCAUGGUUGUCGUCAGCUCGUGUCGUGAGAUGUUGGGUUAAGUCCCGCAACGAGCGCAACCCUUACUGUUAGUUGCUACGCAAGAGCACUCUAGCAGGACUGCCGUUGACAAAACGGAGGAAGGUGGGGACGACGUCAAAUCAUCAUGCCCCUUAUGACCUGGGCUACACACGUACUACAAUGGCCGUAAACAGAGGGAAGCAAAGCCGCGAGGUGGAGCCAACCCCCAAAAGCGGUCUCAGUUCAGAUUGCAGGCUGCAACUCGCCUGCAUGAAGUCGGAAUUGCUAGUAAUCGCAGAUCAGAAUGCUGCGGUGAAUACGUUCCCGGGCCUUGUACACACCGCCCGUCA